rnacentral:piRNA from 1 species
UGUCUAUGUCUAUAUAUAUAUAUAUAUAUAU